UAGCUUCAAGAGAGAGUCUAGCUGAUCUUUGAGCAUUUUACAAGCAAGUUUCCUUUUUUUUUUUUCUUAAUUUCCUUGGAUAAAUUCAGUACUUACAUAGUGUGGCGUAGGCUUGGCCAAAUUCCAUUAUGUGGAGUCCUUAUCUUUUUUUAUACUUCUUUAAGUUUCCUUUGUUAUUUUUAUUGACUAAGAUGGUAGAAUUCAACAAGACUUCUUUUCUUGGCCAGAACUUAAAAUUCUUCUGCAAUUAGGAGCUUGAUUUCUGUUAUGUAAUUAGUUUGCCUAUAUCAGGCAGCUGACUAUUCAAUGUAUAGUACCUUUUCUUUAAUUUCUUUGAUUGACA
rnacentral:lncRNA from 1 species